GAUGAACGCUGGCGGCGUGCCUAACACAUGCAAGUCGAACGGAACUUUUACGGAUUGAGACUUCGGUCGAUUGAGGUUUAAGUUUAGUGGCGGACGGGUGAGUAACGCGUGAGUAACCUGCCUUUCACAGGGGGAUAACGUUUGGAAACGAACGCUAAUACCGCAUAACAUAUGGGAUUCGCAUGUUUUCCAUAUCAAAGAUUUAUCGCUUAAAGAUGGGCUCGCGUCUGAUUAGCUAGUUGGUGAGGUAACGGCUCACCAAGGCGACGAUCAGUAGCCGGCCUGAGAGGGUGGACGGCCACAUUGGGACUGAGACACGGCCCAAACUCCUACGGGAGGCAGCAGUGGGGAAUAUUGCCACAAUGGGGGAAACCCUGAUGCAGCGACGCCGCGUGAGUGAAGAAGUAUUUCGGUAUGUAAAGCUCUAUCAGCAGGGAAGAAAAUGACGGUACCUGACUAAGAAGCACCGGCUAAANACGUG
rnacentral:rRNA from 1 species